rnacentral:rRNA from 1 species
UGGGGAAUAUUGGACAAUGGGCGAAAGCCUGAUCCAGCCAUGCCGCGUGCAGGAAGAAGGCCUUCGGGUUGUAAACUGCUUUUGUACGGAACGAAAAGGCUCUUUCUAAUAAAGAGGGCCCAUGACGGUACCGUAAGAAUAAGCACCGGCUAACUACGUGCCAGCAGCCGCGGUAAUACGUAGGGUGCGAGCGUUAAUCGGAAUUACUGGGCGUAAAGCGUGCGCAGGCGGUUCUAUAAGACAGAUGUGAAAUCCCCGGGCUCAACCUGGGAAUGGCAUUUGUGACUGUAGAGCUAGAGUACGGUAGAGGGGGAUGGAAUUCCGCGUGUAGCAGUGAAAUGCGUAGAUAUGCGGAGGAACACCGAUGGCGAAGGCAAUCCCCUGGACCUGUACUGACGCUCAUGCACGAAAGCGUGGGGAGCAAACAGGAUUAGAUACCCCCGUAGUCCCUGAGCGGGCUGGCAAGGCGCAU